AUAAACGAACAACUUAAAUAUAUAUAUACAUGUCUACAUAUAUAUAUGUCUAACACGUUCAACCCAGCUAUACAACGCAUCUGCAUUAUCGGGCCUACAGAAACCCAUAAAUACAUACAUACAUACAUAUUUAUGUACACUCGCCGGAGCCUCAAUUGUUUCUUGAGCUGGUGUUUUUUUUUUGUUUGUUUUUUUUGAAACUUGGAAGUGUUAUGUGUGCAAUGUUUUUCUGAUAACAAGAUUUGUGAGCGACGAAGUGCGAAUUUUGAAAAACAAAAACGUUUAUGCAUACAUAAACACAAACAAAAAACUAUUGUUAAGCAGUGUCUCAAAAUAUACCAGAACUGGAAUUAAUAUUGUAGAUAUACAGUUAUGUGCAUCAGUCACGUACAUAAGUACAUAGAUAAAUUUCUUCGACAAACACUACUGUGAUUAUGUACGCAUUUCUAAAAACGUCAUUUGGACGUGCACAUCAAACAAGGAAUAUGAAAACCACUACCGCGCUUCUUUUUCAAACAUGAGUAAAUAUCAAUAGCGGUCGAGAGCUUACGCCACGGAUUCACGUUCCACACUACUUUGGAUUUAUAACAGCCUGGUUUUAUUUACAUACUUCUAUAUAUGUACAAAUAUAUAUACAUACAUAUGUGUAAAUUAUGAACAUGAAUGUACAAUUGUGUAUUGUCUUAUAUGUAUUUCAAUAUGUGUAUCAUCACUUUUCGCAAAAUAAAUAGUGUACAUACGUA